rnacentral:rRNA from 1 species
UACGUAGGCAGCGAGCGUUGUUCGGAAUUACUGGGCGUAAAGAGUGUGUAGGCGGUGUUCCCAGUCUGUUGUGAAAUCUCCCGGCUUAACUGGGAGGGUGCAGCGGAAACUAGAAUGCUAGAGGGUGGGAGAGGUAAGCGGAAUUCCUGGUGUAGCGGUGAAAUGCGUAGAUAUCAGGAGGAACACCUGUGGUGUAGACAGCUUACUGGACCACUCCUGACGCUGAGACACGAAAGCGUGGGUAGCAAACAGG